rnacentral:tRNA from 1 species
CUACAAGAAAUGAUUUAUUAUAUAUGAUUUCGGCUCAUACUUAGAUGUUUACAUCCUUGUAAU